rnacentral:rRNA from 1 species
GGACUACCAGGGUAUCUAAUCCUGUUUGCUCCCCACGCUUUCGCGUCUCAGCGUCAGUAUCCGUCCAGAGGGCCGCCUUCGCCACCGGUGUUCCUCCUGAUAUCUACGCAUUUCACCGCUACACCAGGAAUUCCACCCUCCUCUCCGGCACUCAAGUCGCUCAGUUUCCAAUGCACUUCCGGAGGUGAGCCCCGGGUUUUCACAUCAGACUUAAGCGACCGCCUACACGCGCUUUACGCCCAGUAAUUCCGAACAACGCUUGCACCCUCCGUAUUACCGCGGCGGCUGGCAC